UACGGAGGGUGCAAGCGUUAUCCGGAUUUACUGGGUUUAAAGGGGGCGUAGGUGGGUAGGUAAGUCAGUGGUGAAAUCUUCGAGCUUAACUCGGAAACUGCCAUUGAUACUAUUUAUCUUGAAUACUCUGGAGGUAAGCGGAAUAUGUCAUGUAGCGGUGAAAUGCUUAGAUAUGACAUAGAACACCAAUUGCGAAGGCAGCUUACUACAUAGUUAUUGACACUGAGGCACGAAAGCGUGGGGAUCAAACAGG
rnacentral:rRNA from 1 species